UACGUAGGGGGCAAGCGUUGUCCGGAUUUAUUGGGCGUAAAGAGCGUGUAGGCGGUUUGGUAGGUCCGUUGUGAAAACUCGAGGCUCAACCUCGAGACGCCGAUGGAAACCAUCAGACUAGAGUCCGGAAGAGGAGAGUGGAAUUCCUGGUGUAGCGGUGAAAUGCGCAGAUAUCAGGAAGAACACCCGUGGCUAAGGCGGCUCACUGGUCCGGUACUGACGCUGAGGUGCGAAAGCGUGGGGAGCAAACAGG
rnacentral:rRNA from 1 species